AAGUUCAAAAUGAGAAACUUGAAAUUGAUUUCAGGGCUUAUCCCAUUCCCAGCCCAUUCAGGUUGGGUCGUGCUUGGAAACCGACCGCGCAAACCAAGUCCCUUGAAAUUCGCGCGCAGACGCAUUGAACCGGCUGCUCUAUUUAACGCUCCGGUUCGGCGCGUGGAGGUUACCCACUUCUCGCUUCAACUCCGUCGUCCCCUUCCUCCGCUCUGCUUGAAAUGGAGUCAAGGGGGAAACUCCAUGAUACCUAUGGCUUAUAAGCAGGUUUGUAUGAGCUCAUUAUUACACACGGGCUAAGCAUGACUGUUGUCCUUCCUAUGAAAGCUCAACUGUUUCUGGUGUUUGAGAGAACUAGUAGAUAUUUUUCAGUGCAUGGACGACUACGAGUGAAUUCUUCCAAUUUUUCAUAAUGUGAGAUAUCAGAAAGGAGUUUUGGAGAAGCUUUGGAUAACCAUGAAAGGACGUCUGUGCGAUACGAAUCUGAGAAGGUCCAGUGGAGAGAUGCUUUAACAAUAGUGGCCAGUUUGGCUGGGUGCGUGGGAUUAACAUAAUUAAAAGUUGAUAGAGAACUUCUCGACUCCAUUGUGUGCAGUAAAGUACAACCUAUUGAAAUCAACACGAGAGAUUUUGAAGCAUCGGAACCACCAAUUAUUGAAACUGAGCCUACAAUAUCGGAAUCAAAUGAAGAAUUUGAAGUACUUGGAGCUCGACGACGAGCUACUAACGUGACUGAAUAGUUUGAACUAGUAGAAGCAACAACACAAACCACUAAUGGAAACUGUGAGUUGCUCGAUUUUUAGCUCUCUAUUGUCACUUCCUCAUGAUCUGUCACCCUCCCUUCAUGUCUGUUUUUCACUGUGGUUUCCCUCUAAUCUGUUUCUCUUUGUUAGUUUCUUGACUGUUCUUGAUACCUAAUAGAUUAUUCAUUAUGGUAUUCAAACUUUGGGAGUUGGGUUAUUGACAAGAUGCAGCUUAAAAGACCAGAAAACAAUGGGUAACCUACGAAAAAUUAAACAGACAAUGCCCCUUUUCUUAAUAUAGGAUUAUGGGGAUGCUCAAAACUAAAUGUUUAGUUAAACAUUAGGACACUGGACAUCUACCACUAGUUGUGUUUGGGGUUUGAGGUUUAGUAAACAAAGAUGUGAAUCACGUGAUCAGAUUUGAGGCUCUGUGUGUAGCUUAUUUUCAUGGAGUUAAUUAGGUAGUCUCUCUACCAUCAAAUAAAUCCACCUAUUCUUGUGAUUUCAAAAGUAAAUUACAUACAUACUUUC